GUAACCCCAGAGUGCAGUCUGGACGAUGGGGCGGGGCGACACUUUGAGGCGGAGCGACACGUGUCGCCCCGCCCAUAUUUGUUUUCCCCGCCUUUGACAUUUUGCUCCGAGCCAGCAGGGGGCAGUUUGCGUUGAAAUAAACAGAACGGUGGCAACUGCAGAAGCAGAGUAAUAACGCUAUUCCACGUUGAUUGCAUGAGGAUGACAUGAUCAGGAGGUGGUGGUGUUCUGUUCUCCUGGACAGCUUCACUCCGCAAAUAGCUCAACCACUGAGGGGAGGAACUUCACCAUUCAAAAGACAAUGUCUUCAGGCAGAGUCCAGCAAAGCAGCUUCCCCUGGAAAUCCUCAGGGAAGUUAUUUUGUCAGCGGGUGACUCUGCAUAUUUGACACUUUCUCUUGUUUGCAGAUGGUUUAGGGAUGUGGUCACUCAAGAAGUUUUCCGGAAAGCGGCACACUUUGCCUGGCUAGACAUUGUGGCCAACUGGAAGAAUUGUCCCCCUGUCUACCGGAACGAGUUCAGACGGAUGUACAGCAUCAGGAAAUGCUUGCAGUGCAGAGCCCUUUUCAAGUUUAACCCACCAGGGUACAGGGAAGAGGCCGGCGUGGUGAUCUUCUGGGCUUUUGUUUACACAGGAUUUUGUUCUAAGGACUGUUUUUUUUUUUUUUGGCGGCAUGAAACACAUUUGUGUGUUAAGUUCAUUAAAGGGAAAUAGAGAAUGAACUGAGAUCAACUGGUUUUGAUGUAUUAAUUGAUGUCAUUUAAAGUUAAACUUUGCAGUGUAUAAUGUUUUAAUAAAAAAGCUAUGGCAAACA